UACGUAGGCAGCAAGCGUUGUUCGGAAUUACUGGGCGUAAAGGGUGCGUAGGCGGCUUUUUAAGUUUGGUGUGAAAUCUCCUGGCUCAACUGGGCGGGGUCGGCGGAUACGGCGUGGCUGGAGCAAGCUAGGGGGCAGUGGAAUUCCCGGUGUAGUGGUGGAAUGCGUAGAUAUCGGGAGGAACACCAGUGGCGAAGGCGGCUGCCUGGGGCUUUGCUGACGCUGAUGCGCGAAAGCGUGGGGAGCGAUCCGG
rnacentral:rRNA from 1 species